rfam:Xanthomonas campestris pv. campestris str. ATCC 33913, complete genome.
AUCGGCAUGACUCCGGUUCCUCCGCGCUGUCCGCACCCACCUGACGGCUGCUCGCUACGUGUUAUCAGCC